rnacentral:lncRNA from 1 species
CAGGGGAAUAGAAUGCUGCACAAGAAUCCCUCUACAGCAGUGGCUUUCACCUUGGACACACAUAAGAAACCCUUGCCCAGCUCUACAAAUAUAUGCAGAAGUUGCAGCUCUGAGAUUCCGAGAAUUUCACUGAGAACUGAGCAUUUGAAUGAAGAUGCAAACCUGGGAGAAUCUGGGUUGAAGAGGUGCUAAAUUGAGCAGAAACCAGCAGGGUGGCAGAGCCUGGAAGAAAGGGACUAACGCAUCCCCAUCAUCACAGACUCAUAUUGGGAUUGCCUAUCUCCAAUAGGAGGAAGAAGAGACUGUACUCUGUGACCUUCUGUGAAGGGACUCAGUGAUCUCCAGUACAUUGACCCACUGGAUACUUAAUAACUCCUAACCCUCCUUCAAAAAGCAUCUCAGGUUUCUCCAUCUCUAAGAAAUCAUUCCUGAAAGUACAGCAUGCAUUGGAUAUCUUUAGUGCUUGGCCACAUUAUCCUGCAGUUGAUGACUUCAUUACUAGACUGUCUUCCCUACAAGGAUAGAAGUUGCAGGUCAAGUCCAAUCACUUAUCAAACUGGAUGUCUUCUAUACCUGACAUGGUGCCUGGACACAGAAGAGCCUAAUUGUUGAAUGAAUGAAUAAAAUGCUUAAAUAAACAAAUGGCUCAAUCACUUCAUCAUCAGUCAAUCUACUGCUCCCCAAGGUCUCUGACUAAAUUCUCUGUUAGUGGAAACUUACCCUGGGACAUUUAUAAGGAACUUGGAGAGCCAGCUGAAUCAAAUACAAUCAAAUUACUAAUCAAUUAAUUCACUUCUCUGUUCUCUAAAAUUAGGAGCAUGUGAAUGAAUAUGUAUGAACAUGUGUAAUUAUAGACACUUAUGCACAUAAAUUACUGGCAGGGCUCCUCGUGUUAUGUUCACAGGAGCAAGAUGUUUAUUUUCACCUGUCUUCAUUGUAGAGCUGCUUCUGGAGCAUCCUACUCGAAAGCAAAGUGGCUAAACACCCCCCCAAUUUUAUGACUUAUUCAUUGCUUGUUCUUUGAUAUUCUGCUCUAAAAAACAUCAGAAUUCUCCAGUGACAUUCCUAGGUGGGAUAGACUUAUGGGAUAAGAGGAGAUGAAAUGUGAUAUUGCUGGCUUUGAAAGUUUUUUCAUAUCCCCAGGAAGUUUAGUGUUCCUCUCAUCGGUCUUCUUUUCAAAGGAUUAGUUGGUGGUACUUACCAAGUUCUCCAUUCCUUUGGUUUUUAAAAAGAAGAAAGACAUUUUUUUCCUUGUGUUAUCAUGUGGAGAGGCUGAAAUUAGUCAAUUCUAUUUCUAAAAAAGCUCUCAAGACACUCACAUCAUGUGUUAAACCUCAAUGUGGGUCGUUCACUGUGGUUCUGCGUUCAUGUUUGUUGUAGUCCCCUGACCACGAGCAAGAUUAUAGGCAAAUCUAUCAGACUGAUGGUAAGAGUCUCUGCAAACUCUAUGUCUUAAAUGUCGGGGAAGGAUGUCUGUAAAACCUUUGUGGGAAACAAUAAUGUGAAAAGAACAAGCUUUUGAAACUAAAAAAAAAAGAAAAUACUUGUUCAAAUAUCAGCUCCAAUAUUUACUAGUUGUAUAAACUUGAGCAAAUUAAUUAAUUUUCUGAGCCUCUGCCUUCUAAUCUAUAAUAAGUAAUAAGUAUUUCAUAAACUGGCUAAAAGAUUAAACACAAUAGCACAAGUAAAACAUGCUUUUGCUUUUAAAGAUCUAGCAAAAUGCCUGAUAUUUAGUGAGCAACUAGUGAUUGUCUUUUCCUCUAUCUCAGGUGAUGGCUAUACUAAUAGGGAGUUGUUCAAUGGGUACAAAGUUCAAGUUAUGCUAGAUAAAUAAAUUAUAGACACAUUAUGCAUUAUGGUGCCUGUAGUUAAUAUAGUAUUGUAAUCAUCAAAAAUUGUUAGAAAAUAGAUUUCAUAUUGUAUUUUUAACACACACAGAAAAAGAAAUUCUAGAAGGUGAUGGACAUGUUUAUUGUCUUGAUUGUUAUUAUGGUAUCACAGGUAUUUGCAUAUGUUUAAACUCAAAAAAAAAUAUGCACAUUAAAUAUGUGAAGUUUUUAUAUCAAUUAUACCUCAAUAAAGC